ensembl:lncRNA
CCAGUCUAUUCGUUUAAUGAGGAUAGACUGCUAUCUGCUCUAGCCAGGACUGUGCAGGGCACUGGGGACCAAGGGAUCAAUCCGCCCCAUCUCUGCCCUCAAGUGGCUCCCAAUCUGGUGAAGGAGAAGACAAUAAAAGUUACAGUCAAAGAGGGAGACACUAAUUGUUGCAGGAGCUGUGAGCUCACAGAAGCAUAGAACUUAACUGGGGGGUUGGAGAACGUUUACAAGGAAGGGUCAUUUGAGUGGGGUCUUUUUUUUUUAUUUUUAAUGGAAGAUUUUUUUUUUUUCAGAUUUUAUUUUUUUCCUUUUUCUCCCCAAAGCCCCCCCCGUCCAUAGUUGCAUAUUUUAGUUGUGGGUCCUUCUAGUUGUGGCAUGUGGAACGCCGCCUCAGCAUGGCCUGGUGAGCGGUGCCAUGUCCACGCCCAGGAUCCAAAGCGGCGAAAUUCUGGGCCGCCGAAGCAGAGCUCGCGAACUUAACCACUCGGCCACAGGGCUGGCCUCUGAGUGGGGUCUUGAAGGAAAAAUGUUCCUGUACACGCACCCGGAGGCUCUUGCAGGAGGCGGCUGUUGGAGAAACGGGAAAACAAGCCAAGAAACAAGAGAGAGGAAAAAGACCACGCCUCGCCUGGCAGAUUCCUAAUGGCCCAGGAGACCCAGGCUUUACAGUGGGAGGCCGGUGGGGGCUGGCUCUGGUGGGAGGGAAGGGCAGGCCGAAGGACAGUCACUUGCUGACCGGUGACCUUGGGUGGGAUGCUGCCUGCUUCCCCCUGGUGAGAAUGGGAAGGAGGGGACAGGGGCAGAGCUGGCCGGCUGAGGUCACAGGAAGGCCCCUUCCAGCCUGAAAUGCGAUCUCGGGAUGUGGGGCCUGCCAACCUGCAGCGACCCUGGGCCAGCAGAGAUGAAAGGCUGCCUGUCCCCAGCUUCCGGACCCCUGAGGCCCCAGUGCCUCAAACUUGAAGGGCAGCAAAGCUGUUGCAGCUGGCUAGAGCCAGUUGCUGGGCUCCCCACCCCACCUGAUGUCGUCCAACUCUCCCUUCCCUGUUUUGCAGAGGACGCUCUGGCCCAGAGAAGGCUGGUGACCUGCCUGAGGUCACACAGCAAGUUGGAGGCCGAGCCAGGACUCAUCACCACAAAGUCUUUGGACUCAAAAUCCAGGCCUUGUAGCCUUUCCCAGAAACUUGGCUGACUGGGGGCUUACCCUGGGGAGUUGGAGAGACCCAAGGCUAGGGAGGAGAGUUGGGAGCUGUGUCUGUUUGAAGUCACGACUUAAUGUUGACUAAAGCGCCUUUUUUUUUUUUAAGACAAAAAGAACGUUCCAGGCCCCUGCCAUGAGCCUGGACUUGCUCUGCUGGCAGGGGAAGGAAUGCAGCUCUGGCCGCCACAGCUGCUGGUGGCCAGCUGCGGCCUCCACUCCCGCUGCUCCCGCCCCAGCAGGCAAAGGGACAAAGGCCUCUCUUCAGGCCUGUCCCCUCCAGCCCCCUGGAUCGGUGGGGGCAGAGCAUCACCCAGGAGGCUUGGUCACUGACCAGCUAAGUCUCUGUUCCUCUCUGGGCCUUAGUGCCCUUUCUGAAAAAUGGGAGCAGAAUAUCUGCCUGCCCUACUUCUCAGUGCUGUUUUCAGGCUCCAAAGGGGUAAAGUUACAGAAAUAUAGAGCUCUCAGCGCCUCCUUCUGCCUGGGGGUCUGCCUCCUUAUCAACCCUUCUGCCUCAAAUGCCCCUCCUCCCUCCUGCUUUCCCUGGCCAGCCCCAGCUCACUCAGCUCAGCGGGGCCAUCCCUCGCUCUGAGGAGUCUUCCCUCACCUGCAGACUGCCCUGCUCCUUCAGGGUGUUUAUCACUGUUGUAAUUAAAUAAUUAAUUGUGUAAUUGGAUCUGUCUCCCCACUAAAAUGUGAACUCUGUAGUAAUAACAGCUGACACUAAAUGCUUACCUGGUGCCAGAAACUUCACAUGUAUUCACCUGUUUAAUCGCUGUGGCCGGUACUGUUAGUUUCCCCAUCUUACAGAUGAGAAAACUGAGACGAUGAGAGGUUCAGGAACUCACCUGAAGUCACAGCAAUUUGGAGGCUGAGUCAGGACUCCGCACAAAGAAGUUGCAGAACCAGGAUUCAAAUCCAGACCCCAGGCUGUAACCACUACCCCACUAACGAGGCAGGUUCAGCUUGUCGCCCACCUAUCCCCAGCUGCCAGAACAUCUGGCAUACAGUAGGUGCUCCAUAUAUGUCCACCGAAUGAAUACAUAAACAGGGGAUGAACACACGUGAGCAUCUGGAGGAGAAUAAAGCACCCUCCAGGAAUGAGUUUUGCAGGUAUCAUGUGUGGAGCUGAGCCGCGGUGGGGUCGGGGGUGCCCAAUAUGUUGUUAAAGACAUUAUUGGGCUUCUUUCUGGAGCACAGAGGCCAAAAACCGGGACAUCCUUCUUCUCAGGAUGACUCCUCCUUCCACUUCAUCUGCCAGAGUCAAUCAGUGCCCAGGUUCUGCUUCUUGUCUCCCCAAGGCACCCCCUCUUAUCCGUCCCUCAACCCCUAUCUUUUUCUUGGGUUUUUGCAGCAACUUGUGCACAGGUGUCUGUCUCUAAUUUCUC